GACGAACGCUGGCGGCGUGCCUAAUACAUGCAAGUAGAACGCUGAAGGAGGAGCUUGCUCUUCUGGAUGAGUUGCGAACGGGUGAGUAACGCGUAGGUAACCUGCCUGGUAGCGGGGGAUAACUAUGGGAAACGAUAGCUAAUACCGCAUAAGAGUAGAUGUUGCAUGACAUUUGCUUAAAAGGUGCAAUUGCAUCACUACCAGAUGGACCUGCGUUGUAUUAGCUAGUUGGUGAGGUAACGGCUCACCAAGGCAACGAUACAUAGCCGACCUGAGAGGGUGAUCGGCCACACUGGGACUGAGACACGGCCCAGACUCCUACGGGAGGCAGCAGUAGGGAAUCUUCGGCAAUGGACGGAAGUCUGACCGAGCAACGCCGCGUGAGUGAAGAAGGUUUUCGGAUCGUAAAGCUCUGUUGUAAGAGAAGAACGAGUGUGAGAGUGGAAAGUUC
rnacentral:rRNA from 1 species